CAGUAUAAGGGUGACAAAGAAGAGAAUGCUCCGGAUGAUGGAGAGCUGGUACACAGCCAGUGUCAUGCAUCGCAGGUUUGUUCUGCAGAAACGGAAGAAGCAAAUGUCCUGAACUCCUGUAUGGGAUAAAACCAGAAGUCUAUGAGACAUGUUUAUUGAGAGGCCUGGGAAGGCCUAUAGGUGUUGCUGAGUGCUAAGGCUGUGAUGGAGUGUGGCAUCAGGCUGGAGGCUGUAAGGGCUGACCAACUCAACAACAUACAAUUUUCUAUUUUGACCCAACUCUCCUGGUUAGGACCUUUUGUAACGGGACAUUGCAAAUAAUUUGGAUUUUUGCCGGAUUUGAGAGACAAUGAGGGACUUUUUCAUAUGCCAUCUAACAACCUUGCUUUUUAAGCCAAAAGGAGGAUAUAGCACGGAGACAAUGUGACAAAGAAUAAAAUAAGUUAACCAUUGCAGCAGGACCAGAGUAAAAAGGAUUGCUGCAGAUCGUGAAAGAAGGCCCAUGGAGGAAUCGUUUCUCAAGAGGCCAUGGAGGGGUCGUUUGGGAGCUGAAUAGUGGCCUACCUGCCCCACCCGUGGAGAGACAAGGGAUUUCAACAAGAUUGGCUGAGACAAAAGUGAUGCUGAACAGGAUGAUCGACAGAUGGGUAAUCCGUUCCCCCUCCCCCCUUCUCUCUCACUAUCUUCCUGUUUUCUUUUUCAGCUUUUUGGACUCCUGUUCCUAAAUUGGAGAUCCAUAAGGCAUUGUUACUGAGAGGCCUGUUUUCCAAAAUGGAGAUCCAUAAGGCAUUAUUACUGGAAGGCCUGUUUUAGAAUCCAAAACCCGCAGGGGUUUAAGUCUACCCCACACCACACGCUGGGUAUACUGGAUAUGACAGCUAAAGCCCUGUGAGAGAUGGAGAUUUUCUUUACAGACUUUUCUUUACACAGAGACAAUUCUUAGAGACUAGAGACUUGAUUGGACAAAGAGACUUUCUUCAAAUUAACUGAACAUUAUUCCUUUGAUCAAGGAAGAGGAAACACACCCCCAGUUUGACUUUAUGCCAAAGACCUGAAAGUUGGACAUGUAUGUGAAUGGCCACCUCUGGCCAUAGCAACAAAUCCAUCAUCGGAAGAAGCCAAAUGACUGGGCUAGAUCAGAAUUCUACUGUGGACUAUAUCCUUUCUAAAACCUGAUUAAUAUUUUUAAUCCUCAUGUGUUGUUUACCUCUGGUGAUGAAACUAUGUACAAAUGCUAUUCUGCGCUCAUUUUCCACUGAAAAGAUAGCUCGGCUGCAAGCUAGAAGGGAUUGGAGGGACUCAUAAGUCUGCUCAUUUGGUUUGCUUCAUCUUUUGUAUACACGCUUCGCAAAAAAAAAAGGGGGGGGGAAUAAGGCAGGAAUGAAGGGGUAGGAGGAAAUGGCCAUAUAAGGUACGAGCAGGCCAGGUACACAGCCGAUGGGUUAUCACAUGAUUUCCCCGAAAUCAUGUGUUUUGAGAGAAACGAAAGUAAUGAUGAAAUGUAAUACUGCACCACAAAUAUGCACCAAUGGUUUGAUAUGUGGGCGGUCGUAAACCGAACCCAUUGAAUUGUAUUAAUAGACACUUGACUCUGUCGGGGGGGGGGGGUUCUCCCUUUUCAGCACCUAGUUGUGCGUGGGAUGAACCUCUGCAGCUGCAUGAACUUUAGUAAACUGCUUUCUUUGGAAAAAACUACAGUUGUCUGUCUCCUACUUCCACUGCGUCCGCACAGACACACGAGAAGCCGAGAAGAGGGGAAGUCUGGCUUCCGCUACAAUUGAAAUGAGUUUUUUUGUGGCGCACACAAUGCAGUUAUCCAAUACAGGAGAAUAGGUGCUGAAUUUAGGAAGUUUAGUCUCAGAACUGCCCCACAAAAUCUGUCGCCUAAGGAAAUUCACGUCCUCCUACUUGAUAGUAGUAUCUUUUUUAGAGAGAAUAAGUGGGAUAUAAAUAAUAGAAAUAAUAAGAAUAGCAACAACACCAGGCCAGCCUCAAUAGCUGAGGAGAACUCAAUGGUUAACCUUGACUUUUUGCCCUUCUAUUUGCAUGUAGGCAUGUUAUCGGGUCUCUCUUUCUUUCUGGAGAUCAUGGCCUUAAAGGGAGCAUAUAUUUCAGGCUCAGGUUUGAUAGAACUGCAUUCCUUUUAAAGAGAAAGGAAAAUCUCAAGAUGUGCAUGUUACGAAGUUUGAGACAAUAGAAUGAAAGCUAUUAAAGAUACAGGGAAUGGGAAUGUGUUCUACAGAACCUGUUUCAGCAGCUCCUCUACUUAGUUUCAAGAAGAAGAUGAAAUACUCAAGCCUGAAAUAUCAGGAUGAGUUUUUGCAUGUGCAUUUAGGGCUAUAAGGCUCAUCAUCCUAAUAUGCCCUGUGGAAACAGCAAAGGAAGGAGGCCAGCAGGCAUCAUAGAAUCAUAGAAUCAUAGAAUCGUAGAGUUGGAAGAGAUCUCACGGGCCAUCCAGUCCAACCCUCUGCAAGAAGCAGGAAAAUCUCAUUCAAAGCACCCCCGACAGAUGGCCAUCCAGCCUCUGCUUAAAAGCCUCCAAAGAAGGAGCCGAACAGCUCUCACAGUGAGGAAGUUCUUCCUGAUGUUCAGGUGAAAUCUCCUUUCCUGUAGUUUGAAGCCAUUGUUCCACGUCCUAGUCUCUAGGGCAGCAGAAAACAAGCUUGUUCCCUCCUCCCUAUGACUUCCCCUCACAUAUUUGUAUAUGGCUAUCAUGUCUCCUCUCAGCCUUCUCUUCUGCAGACUAAACAUGCCCAGCUCUUUAAGCCACUCCUCAUAGGGCUUGUUCUCCAGACCCUUGAUAAUCCCUACAGGAGUUGGCUAUUUGUUUGAAUUCUUCUUUGGUGAUUUCUCCCUUUUUCCACUUCUUGUGCAUGUCUUUUUUGAGUCUUAGACCAGUUAGAAGUUCUUUGGACAUCCAUUCUGGCUUCUUUGCACUUGUCUUGUUUUUAUUCUUUGUUGGCACUGUUUGCAUUUGCACUUUGAGUAUUUUACUUUUGAAAAACUUCCAUCCAUCCUUGACUCCCUUGUCUUUUAGUAUUGGCGUCCAUGUCUUUUAGUAUUGGCGUCAAUAGUUCCUUCAUUUUUUGGAAGUCAGCUCUCCUAAAGUCCAGAAUGCGGGUUUGACUUUUUUUCAUUUCGGCCUUCCUUUGUAUUGCAAACUGGAGGAGCACAUGGUUGCUUGCCCCUAAGGAUCCAAUCACUUCAACUGCAUUGAUCUGGUUCUCGGCAUUUGUUAGGAUGAGGUCAAGAGUAGCUGAUCUCCUUGUUGCCUCUUCUACCUUCUGGACCAUAAAAUUGUCUGCAAGGAAGUGAGGAAUUUGUUGGACUUUGUACUCUUGGCCGAGUUUGUUUUCCAGUAGAUAUCAGGAUAGUUGAAAUCAUCCAUGACUACUAUAUCUCUUCUUUGUGCCUGUUUGGUCAGCUACUGACAGAAGGUUUCAUCAAGUUCUUCAUCCUGAUUCGGAGGUCUGUAGUAGACACCCACGACGAGUGUCAUGCAGCCAGAUCCCAGGGCUGAAUUUCCAAGCCCUGAAUCUGACUUCAUAACAUAAACAUGCGAGCACCUGGCGGGAGAAGAUAAAAUGAGCCUGGGAACUCAGGGGUGAAAGUAUAAGAACCGAAGAGGAGGACGAAGAAAACGGGGGCGCCAUGUCAUGCAGCCAGAUCCCAGGGCUGAAUUUCCAAGCCCUGAAUCUGACUUCAUAACAUAAACAUGCGAGCACCUGGCGGGAGAAGAUAAAAUGAGCCUGGGAACUCAGGGGUGAAAGUAUAAACAAUUAUAAUUGCUAUAGUGUGGGGGGGGAUAGAAACCUUGGUGGAAAUGUGAUCCAGAAGGUGGGGUUUGAUGAUGAUAUUUGCGUGUGAUAUUACGUUGCAUCAGAAGUGAUAAAAUUAGAUGUAUGUAAACAUUAGGUCAUUCUCGACUUUUCCAAAGUCAUGUAUUCUUCAAUAAAGAUUGUGUUUGAGA